rnacentral:rRNA from 1 species
GAUGAACGCUGGCGGCGUGCCUAAUACAUGCAAGUCGAGCGAACAGACGAGGAGCUUGCUCCUCUGACGUUAGCGGCGGACGGGUGAGUAACACGUGGAUAACCUACCUAUAAGACUGGGAUAACUUCGGGAAACCGGAGCUAAUACCGGAUAAUAUAUUGAACCGCAUGGUUCAAUAGUGAAAGACGGUUUUGCUGUCACUUAUAGAUGGAUCCGCGUCGCAUUAGCUAGUUGGUAAGGUAACGGCUUACCAAGGCAACGAUGCGUAGCCGACCUGAGAGGGUGAUCGGCCACACUGGAACUGAGACACGGUCCAGACUCCUACGGGAGGCAGCAGUAGGGAAUCUUCCGCAAUGGGCGAAAGCCUGACGGAGCAACGCCGCGUGAGUGAUGAAGGUCUUCGGAUCGUAAAACUCUGUUAUUAGGGAAGAACAAACGUGUAAGUAACUAUGCACGUCUUGACGGUACCUAAUCAGAAAGCCACGGCUAACUACGUG